rnacentral:rRNA from 1 species
GUCUUUUUGAUAAUAAUUUAAAGUCUAAUCUGCCCACUGAUAUACAUAUAUAUUAAAGGGCUGCAGUAUAUUGACUGUACAAAGGUAGCAUAAUCAUUAGUUUUUUAAUUGAAAACUUGUAUGAAAGAUUUGAUGAAAUAUAAACUGUCUCUUAAUUAUUUUUAUAAAUUUAUUUUUUAGUUAAAAAGCUAAAAUAAAUUUAAAAGACGAGAAGACCCUAUAGAGUUUUAUAUUUGUUUUUAUUUUAAAAAUAUGUAAAAAUUAAUAUUAAAAUAUAAAUUAAAUAUUUUAUUGGGGUGAUAGAAAAAUUAAAUUAACUUUUUUUAAAAAUUAAACAUUAAUAAAUGAUUAAAUGAUCCAUUAAUAAUGAUUAUAAGAAAAAAUUACCUUAGG